rnacentral:rRNA from 1 species
UACGGGGGGAGCAAGCGUUGUUCGGAUUUACUGGGCGUAAAGGGCGCGUAGGCGGCCACCGCAAGUCGACUGUGAAAUCUCCGGGCUUAACCCGGAACGGUCAGCCGAUACUGCGGGGCUAGAGUGCAGAAGGGGCAACUGGAAUUCUCGGUGUAGCGGUGAAAUGCGUAGAUAUCGAGAGGAACACCUGCGGCGAAGGCGGGUUGCUGGGCUGACACUGACGCUGAAGCGCGAAAGCUAGGGGAGCGAACGGG